rnacentral:misc_RNA from 1 species
CGGCACCGGCAACGUAUCGGUGCUGCGCGAUGCACUGCCGGAUCACGAUGUGCUGGCGGGGAUGGGGCCGUUCAAUGUUCUGUCCCUGGGCGAUGGUCAUUUUCAUCGCGCCACCUCCGGAGACAUCCUGCUGGAGAAGGACGAUCCGGAUAUCGCAAAGUUGCUGUCACGGCCGGAACUUGUUUUCCGCAGUGUGGAUGACAUCGAGGGCGUGCAAUGGGGCAAGCUGUUGAUCAAUCUGAACAACGCACUCAAUGCGCUGUCU